rnacentral:rRNA from 1 species
ACGUAGUUUGAUCCGUGCUCAGAACGACGCUGGCGGCAUGCCUAACACAUGCAAGUCGAACGAGACCUUCGGGUCUAGUGGCGCACGGGUGCGUAACGCGUGGGAAUCUGCCCUUUGCUUCGGAAUAACAGUUAGAAAUGACUGCUAAUACCGGAUGAUGUCUUCGGACCAAAGAUUUAUCGGCAAAGGAUGAGCCCGCGUAGGAUUAGGUAGUUGGUGGGGUAAAGGCCUACCAAGCCGACGAUCCUUAGCUGGUCUGAGAGGAUGAUCAGCCACACUGGGACUGAGACACGGCCCAGACUCCUACGGGAGGCAGCAGUGGGGAAUAUUGGACAAUGGGCGAAAGCCUGAUCCAGCAAUGCCGCGUGAGUGAUGAAGGCCUUCGGGUUGUAAAGCUCUUUUACCCGGGAUGAUAAUGACAGUACCGGGAGAAUAAGCUCCGGCUAACUCCGUG